CAAGAAACGCUGCUGACGGGAUGAGCCAUUUCGAGAAUUUGGGGACCGUUGAUUUAAUUUAUCUAAAUUAUUUUGAUGGAAACCAAUUUAAUCGCAGUGGCUUGAACCGGGCAAAAGUCGUAACAAGGUAGCUGUAGGUGAACCUGCUGCUGGAUCAUUACUUUAUGUGAUGUUCAAUUUUGAAUCGCAAUGAAAUAAUUGUUGUGUAACGGCUGUCGCUGGUGUCUAGGUGUUGCUGAUACAGUUGUGAACGUCCGUGGCUGUAUAUGUGGUGACAUGUUAGGACUAUAAUGAGUUUAAGACUUAAUGAGCCUCUUAAGUGAGGACGCCAGCACUCUUUUUUUAUAUUUAAAAAAAAACAAAAUUCCUAGCCUUUCCGGUGGAUCACUAGGCUCGUGGAUCGAUGAAGAACGCAGCAAACUGCGAUAAGUUUUGCGAACUGCAGCAGCCUUGAGCAUAAAAGUUUUGAACGCAUAUUGCCGCAUAGGGGUCAAACCCUUUGCUAUGUCUGGUUCAGGGUCAUUAUCUUUCAAAGCGAAAGCUUUAUUGUAUAAUUGCUUUUGUGGCUUCUUUAUGUUUUAAAUUGAUUGUUAGAUAUGUUUAAUUGUUCGCAUGUAUCAUCAACAAUAUUGAUUUUUUGACCUGAACUCAGUCGAGAGCACCCGCUGAACUUAAGCAUAUCAGUAAGCGGAGGAAAAGAAACUAAACAGGAUUCCCUUAGUAACGGCGGAGGGAAAA
rnacentral:rRNA from 1 species